GUACAUCCUGCCCAGUGACCAUUGUUCAACGGCCGCGGUACCCUGACCGUGCUAAGGUAGCAUAAUCAUUUGCCUCUUAAUUAGUGGCUAGUAUGAAUGGACAAACGAAAGUUCCCCUGUCUCUUCAAGGCCAAUGAAAAUUAACCUCCAGGUGAAGAGGCCUGAAUCUUAUUAAAAGACAAAAAGACCCUAUUGAGCUUUAUACAAACUUUAAACCACUUUAAUAAAACUAAAACUUAACCUUAAAAUAAGUAUUUUACUGGGGCGGUAAAGGAACAUCCAAAGAUUCCUUAUUCCUAAGACUUCUCAGUCAAUAAAAUGAUCCAUAACACAUGAUUAACAGACAUAGCUACCAUAGGGAUAACAGGCUAAUUUUUCUCUAGAGCCCAAAUUGACAGAAAAGAUUGGCACCUCGAUGUUGGCUUAGGAUAUCCCAAGGGCGCAAAAGCUCUAAAG
rnacentral:rRNA from 1 species